GACGAACGCUGGCGGCGUGCCUAACACAUGCAAGUCGAACGGAACUGUUUUGACAGAUUUCUUCGGAAUGAAUUUGAUUUAGUUUAGUGGCGGACGGGUGAGUAACGCGUGAGUAACCUGCCUUCAAGAGGGGAAUAACAUUCUGAAAAGAAUGCUAAUACCGCAUGACAUAUCGGAACCACAUGGUUUUGAUAUCAAAGAUUUUAUCGCUUGAAGAUGGACUCGCGUCCGAUUAGUUAGUUGGUGAGGUAACGGCUCACCAAGACCGCGAUCGGUAGCCGGACUGAGAGGUUGAACGGCCACAUUGGGACUGAGACACGGCCCAGACUACUACGGGAGGCAGCAGUGGGGGAUAUUGCGCAAUGGGGGCAACCCUGACGCAGCAACGCCGCGUGAAGGAUGAAGGUUUUCGGAUUGUAAACUUCUUUUAUUAAGGACGAAAAAUGACGGUACUUAAUGAAUAAGCGCCGGCUAACUACGUG
rnacentral:rRNA from 1 species